rnacentral:rRNA from 1 species
CCUACGGGAGGCAGCAGUAGGGAAUCUUCCGCAAUGGGCGAAAGCCUGACGGAGCAACGCCGCGUGAGUGAUGAAGGUCUUCGGAUCGUAAAACUCUGUUAUUAGGGAAGAACAAAUGUGUAAGUAACUAUGCACGUCUUGACGGUACAUAAUCAGAAAGCCACGGCUAACUACGUGCCAGCAGCCGCGGUAAUACGUAGGUGGCAAGCGUUAUCCGGAAUUAUUGGGCGUAAAGCGCGCGUAGGCGGUUUUUUAAGUCUGAUGUGAAAGCCCACGGCUCAACCGUGGAGGGUCAUUGGAAACUGGAAAACUUGAGUGCAGAAGAGGAAAGUGGAAUUCCAUGGGUAGCGGUGAAAUGCGCAGAGAUAUGGAGGAACACCAGUGGCGAAGGCGACUUUCUGGUCUGUAACUGACGCUGAUGUGCGAAAGCGUGGGGAUCAAACAGGAUUAGAUACCCCUGUAGUC